AGCAACGGGAAUGAAGUUCUCCCUUGGCUAAUGCCUAAACCGCCAAUGGGCUGAUGACUUCUGU
rnacentral:ncRNA from 1 species